rnacentral:lncRNA from 1 species
GGGGCGAGUCGUCCACAGGUCACCAGAAAAUAAUUAUAUCACCGUCGUCGCAGAAGGCGACGAGAAUGUGGAAAUAAAAAUAAGAAAAAGGGGAAACAACAAGAAAAGUGCGAGAGAUAAUCAGAAGACGGGAGAAUUCUGUGGAUCACCAUUCGGAUGCGCUGAUCCAUAAAAGUGUCGCCGUGAUCCAGACGAUUUCGGAAACCCUCCGCGACCGGGAGGUGGCGGUCGCGAAUCAGGAGAGAGAGGUAACAAAGCGAGAGACCCUUCUUCUACGGGCCGUCAUUGGUGAAGACCUCCAGGAGGAGUCGGCGGCAGAGGAGGCGGAGGAGGAGGUGGGCGCGAGAGUGGACCAGGGGAGGGAAGUCGCCGCGGAGGGGCGAGUCGUCCACAGGUCACCAGAAAAUAAUUAUAUCACCGUCGUCGCAGAAGGCGACGAGAAUGUGGAAAUAAAAAUAAGAAAAAGGGGAAACAACAAGAAAAGUGCGAGAGAUAAUCAGAAGACGGGAGAAUUCUGUGGAUCACCAUUCGGAUGCGCUGAUCCAUAAAAGUGUCGCCGUGAUCCAGACAAUUUCGGAAACCCUCCGCGACCGGGAGGUGGCGGUCGCGAAUCAGGAGAGAGAGGUAACAAAGCGAGAGACCCUUCUUCUACGGGCCGUCAUUGGUGAAGACCUCCAGGAGGAGUCGGCGGCAGAGGAGGCGGAGGAGGAGGUGGGCGCGAGAGUGGACCAGGGGAGGGAAGUCGCCGCGGAGGGGCGAGUCGUCCACAGGUCACCAGAAAAUAAUUAUAUCACCGUCGUCGCAGAAGGCGACGAGAAUGUGGAAAUAAAAAUAAGAAAAAGG